ensembl:lncRNA novel transcript
AUGUAUGUUUUACCACAAUUUUUAAAAAGCUAGUGAAAAGCUGGUAAAAAGAAAGAAAAGAGGCUUUUUUAAAAAGUUAAAUAUAUAAAAAGAGCAUCAUCAGUCCAAAGUCCAGCAGUUGUCCCUCCUGGAAUCCGUUGGCUUGCCUCCGGCAUUUUUGGCCCUUGCCUUUUAGGGUUGCCAGAUUAAAAGACAGGAUGCCCAGCUAGUUUGAAUUUUAGAUAAACAACGAAUAAUUUCGUAGCAUAAAUAUGUCCCAAGCUUAGUUUGGGACAUACUUAUGCUAAAAAACAUUAUUGGUUGUUUAUCUGAGAUUCAGAAUUAAGCAUUUUAUAUUUUAUUUGCUGCCUCUGGCCACCCUACUCUCUUCCUAACACUCUCUCCCUCUCCCAGUUUUGUCCGCCUUCCCUGCCUCCUCUUCUGGGGGAGUUAGAUCGAGUUGUAACAAGAACAUGCCACUGUCUCGCUGGCUGCAGCGUGUGGUCCCCUUACCAGAGUGAGGAUGCGAAGAGAAGGUGGCUGUCUGCAAACCAGGAAGAGAGCCCUCACCGGGAACCCGUCCAGCUGCCACCUUGAACUUGGACUUCCAAGCCUCCAGAACUGUGAGGGAUAAAUGUAUGAUUUUAAAGUC